UCGGUCCGGCAAGGGGAACUCCGGCGAGGCAAGGCAGGUGGGCGUCUGGCCCGGGGCAGUGAAGAUUGACGCCGGCAAGGGACCUCAGCGAAGUAGGGCACCGGCGAGUGGCUCCGGCAAGGGCGGCUGCAGGCGACGCGAGGACGUGGAGCGCAGCUACUGGGCGUCACGGACGAAGGGCUGGCGAGCAACCAAGGCGAGGCGGUAGCAGCUGCAGGGGCACCUGGUCGUCGCGGGUCAGUGCGGGCUGAGCAGGGGCGGCGUUGGGCAGAUCUGCCUCGGGUCUGGUCUCGGCAGAGCUUCGGUGGGGAAAGACGCCGGCAAGGAGCU
rnacentral:lncRNA from 1 species